AUACUUUUGUCACAGGGGAGAUAACAUGAUCAUUAAGGUGGUUUUCCCAGGGUGAGGCAUAUACAUUGUACUCCAGACGUUCUGACCCCUGCAAUUUCUCCAAAUGUGGAUAACUCGACUACAUAAUUUGGUAGUGGGGAACUGUGUUUGUGCUCUCCCCAA
ensembl:snRNA U1 U1 spliceosomal RNA